rnacentral:rRNA from 1 species
UACGUAGGGGGCAAGCGUUGUCCGGAAAUCAUUGGGCGUAAAGAGCGCGUAGGCGGCCCGAUAAGUCCGCUGUGAAAGUCAAGGGCUUAACCCUUGAAUGGCCGGUGGAAACUGUCGGGCUAGAGUCCGGAAGAGGCGAGUGGAAUUCCGUGGAUGUAGCGGUGAAAUGCGCAGAUAUCAGGAGGAACACCGAGUGGCGAAGGCAGCUCGCUGGGACGGUACUGACGCUGAGGCGACGAAAGCGUGGGGAGCAAACAGG